rnacentral:rRNA from 1 species
AUUGAACGCUGGCGGCAGGCCUAACACAUGCAAGUCGAGCGGAUGAAGGGAGCUUGCUCCUGGAUUCAGCGGCGGACGGGUGAGUAAUGCCUAGGAAUCUGCCUGGUAGUGGGGGAUAACGUCGGGAAACGGGCGCUAAUACCGCAUACGUCCUGAGGGGGAAAGCGGGGGAUCUUCGGACCUCACGCUAUCAGAUGAGCCUAGGUCGGAUUAGCUAGUUGGUGGGGUAAAGGCCUACCAAGGCGACGAUCCGUAACUGGUCUGAGAGGAUGAUCAGGCACACUGGAACUGAGACACGGUCCAGACUCCUACGGGAGGCAGCAGUGGGGAAUAUUGGACGAAGGGCGAAAGCCUGAUCCAGCCAUGCCGCGUGUGUGAAGAAGGUCUUCGGAUUGUAAAGCACUUUAAGUUGGGAGGAAGGGCAGUAAGUUAAUACCUUGCUGUUUUGACGUUACCAACAGAAUAAGCACCGGCUAACUUCGUG